GUGAUAGUACGACCAAAACACGAGAACGGCAUUACAAAUUUUAAGAACAAGAAACUAAAAUAAUAAAGUCUAAAUGAAAAGUAAAAGUAAAAUAGAAAUGUUGGAAGGAGCAUUUCAGUUGUCGUAGUUAAAAAUAAGAAGCGGUGGGGAAUUUAAAAAUUUUUAAUGGAAGAAAAACCCCAAAAACGGUUAAAGGAGGUCAGUGCAGAUGAAAAAGGACGCCUAAUCCAAGCUGUUGCCCAUUAUUGUGGGACUUGACCGGCAGGAAGCAAUACCAUAACAGGGGCAAAUUGAACUGCUGGAGGAUGCCGAGUGGACUUCGAUCUCCACAUGGACAUCCUCCCGGGCGUGUCCUCGUAAAUAAACAGAACCACCAGUAAUACGAUAUCCGACAACCUCUUCAUUAGGACUCCGGACUCCACCACCAUCAGCUACUUGGCCAGCUUAAGCGGAGCUUGAGGUCCCGCUGGAUUCUGUAGGAAGGAGGAAAAUAGGGCGCCCACUAAAGAAUAGUUGGAGAAGCCAUAGCCAGGAUGCUGGGCGUCUUCCUGCAGUAUCAGCGGAUCAACCCCGUUCCCGAUCCGGCUCCCAUUCCCUCAAGGUACAAUACGCCCAUUGGGAGCAGGACUGCGGUGGCGCGGGAUAGAUGGCGAAGCAUUCGUGGGACAUUAAG